rnacentral:rRNA from 1 species
UACGAAGGGGGCUAGCGUUGUUCGGAAUUACUGGGCGUAAAGCGCGCGUAGGCGGUGAUCUUUGUCAGAGGUGAAAGCCCGGGGCUCAACUCCGGAAUUGCCUUUGAAACGGGAUCGCUAGAGUCCGAGAGAGGAUGGCGGAAUUCCUAGUGUAGAGGUGAAAUUCGUAGAUAUUAGGAAGAACACCGGUGGCGAAGGCGGCCAUCUGGCUCGGUACUGACGCUCAGGCGCGAAAGCGUGGGAGCAAACAGG